GGUGAGUAACGCGUAUCCGACCUGCCCACCACUUGUUGGAUAACCUUGCGAAAGUAAGACUAAUACCCAAUGAUAUCUCUAGAAGACAUCUGAAAGAGAUUAAAGAUUUAUCGGAGAUGGAUGGGGAUGCGUCUGAUUAGCUUGUUGGCGGGGUAACGGCCCACCAAGGCAACGAUCAGUAGGGGUUCUGAGAGGAAGGUCCCCCACAUUGGAACUGAGACACGGUCCAAACUCCUACGGGAGGCAGCAAUGAGGAAUAUUGGUCAAUGGGCGAGAGCCUGAACCAGCCAAGUAGCGUGCAGGAAGACGGCCCUAUGGGUUGUAAACUGCUUUUAUAAGGGAAUAAAGUGAGUCUCGUGAGACUUUUUGCAUGUACCUUAUGAAUAAGGACCGGCUAAUUCCGUGCCAGCAGCCGCGGUAAUACGGAAGGUCCGGGCGUUAUCCGGAUUUAUUGGGUUUAAAGGGAGCGUAGGCCGGAGAUUAAGCGUGUUGUGAAAUGUAGACGCUCAACGUCUGCACUGCAGCGCGAACUGGUUUCCUUGAGUACGCACAAAGUGGGCGGAAUUCGUGGUGUAGCGGUGAAAUGCUUAGAUAUCACGAAGAACUCCGAUUGCGAAGGCAGCUCACUGGAGCGCAACUGACGCUGAAGCUCGAAAGUGCGGGUAUCGAACAGGAUUAGAUACCCUGGUAGUCCGCACGGUAAACGAUGGAUGCCCGCUGUUGGUCUGAAUAGGUCAGCGGCCAAGCGAAAGCAUUAAGCAUCCCACCUGGGGAGUACGCCGGCAACGGUGAAACUCAAAGGAAUUGACGGGGGCCCGCACAAGCGGAGGAACAUGUGGUUUAAUUCGAUGAUACGCGAGGAACCUUACCCGGGCUUGAAUUGCAGAGGAAGGAUUUGGAGACAAUGACGCCCUUCGGGGCCUCUGUGAAGGUGCUGCAUGGUUGUCGUCAGCUCGUGCCGUGAGGUGUCGGCUUAAGUGCCAUAACGAGGGCCAACCCUCUCCUUAGUUGCCAUCAGGUCAUGCUGGGCACUCUGGGGACACUGCCACUGUAAGGUGUGAGGAAGGUGGGGAUGACGUCAAAUCAUCAUGGCCCUUACGUCCGGGGCUACACACGUGUUACAAUGGCAGAUACAGAGAGAAGGUCCCUUG
rnacentral:rRNA from 1 species